ensembl:lncRNA
AGACAGAGACUUGCAGCAAUGACAAAGACAUACAGAACAAAAUAUUCAGAAUUAGUGUAAGAGGAUAGAUAUCAGGAUUGCAGUGAUUGCAAUGAUUUCUACAGUGCUGUAAUUUUCUUUAGGCUGAAAAACAGAGAACAACUGAAGCUGUCCCCCUUGCUUCACACAGGAGCACAGCAGCUCCAGGUGUGGGGGCAGAUGACCUAUCUCAAAGACCUUCUACCUCACAUCACGUCAGGAACCAAUCUUUAAUGGUGAUAGAGAAAGAACUGCACGAGCCUAUUCACUGUACUUACUGCCAGGCACUGCAGAAGCUCAGGGAUGCAGAGACACCUCGUUGGGCUUGGUUCAAUCAUGGGAGAAGUGGAGCUCCUGUCACCAGUCCCUGCACAGACAAAUGAGAAGCCAGGAUGGAAGACAACUCCAGAUUAAAUCCCUAUGCAUCCUGCCCUUGUGCACCUUCUCGUUGUACCAUCGAUUUUUCUUAAACUCACUUGACAUUUUCCUAGCUAAUGAAUGACAUGCCUGGCCUUUUCCAGAUUCAACAUUACAGCCAUACCCCACUAUAUAAUGCAAAGGUAAAAGGUGAUUCUGUCACAAGCCGUUACAGAAACAUCAAAGUGCAAGCCAGGAUGAAGCAUCAUAGACCCCAUUCACAUAAAGGUACUCCUUCACAGAGAGGAGGCAUCAAGGCACAGAGAUGCAGGAAGGCUUCCUGGCAGAUCUAGCAAUGGACCACACAUUCAGAAUGCAGAUUUUUGGACAUGAGCACAUAUGGCACCUGCAACAGGGCAGACCAGAGAAGAGUUGUUCAUCACGACAGACUAUGCUUGCACUAUUGCUGUAUAAAAGGAGAACUGGAGGGUCUUCUAGGAUAGCUUGUGGAUGACUGGCUGAGUAGACCUUCCGGCAAAUAUCAGAGUAGUCAAAAUCGCCCACAAUAACCAGGGCCAGUCACUGCGAAGCUGCUAUCAGCUGCCUGUAGAAGGCCUCGUCGGCUUCCUAGUUCAGAUCCAGGGGCCUGUAACAGACACCCACAACAGCGCCACGCGUGCCAGCCUGCCCCUUAGUUCCCACCCACAAACUCUCAACCCGCUCCUCCUCCACCCCUGGACAGUACUCUACACGUUCUAGUCGCUCUCUCACAUGAAGAGCAACGCCACCACCUCACCUUGCUGGCCUGUCUUUCCUGAGAAGGACAUAGCCAUCCGCGUCCGCAUCCCGGUCAUGUGAUCUGUCCCACCAGGUCUCCGUAAUUGCCCCCAGAUCUUUACCUCCUGCCUGAACACGGAUUUCUAACUCCUCCUGCUUAC